UUACUUACCUGGCAGGGGAGAUGCCAUGAUCAUGAAGGUGGUUUUCCCAGGGUGAGGCUCAUCCAUUGCACCCCGAUGUGCUGACCCCUGCAAUUUCUCCAAAUGUGGGAAACUUGACUGCAUGAUUUGUGGUAGUGGGGGACUGCGUUCACACUCUCCCCUA
ensembl:snRNA U1 U1 spliceosomal RNA